GCAAGUAGUUGAUCGCUAUUUUAACUAAUAGAGGAAAGUCCAUGCUUGCACAAGCUGCGAUGCUUGUAGUGUUCUUGUAGGAUUAACAAAUAAAUCCUAGCACUUGUAAAAGUGACGGCCAAUGAACAACUAAAUGGUUCGUAAUAAAAUCAUAUGUUGUAAGUUGCUAAGGUGCCACAGAGACGAGUUUUAUUGGAAACAAUAAAAAUGAAACGCGGUAAACCCCAAGAGCAAGAAACCUAAAUUUUGGUAAGGGAACGAGAAUUCUUCAACUGAAAAGAAAACUUGACUGCGUAAGCAGGAGAUAAAUGAUCAACACACAAAUAAGACAGAUUAAGUAAUGCAUUAUUUGUGAACAGAACAUGGCUUACACU
rnacentral:RNase_P_RNA from 1 species